AGUAGUCCUAGCCGUAAACGAUGGAUACUAGGCACUGUGCGUAUCGACCCGUGCAGUGCUGUAGCUAACGCGUUAAGUAUCCCGCCUAGAGAGUACGUUCGCAAGAAUGAAACUCAAAGGAAUUGAUGGGGCCCGCACAAGCGGUGGAGCAUGUGGUUUAAUUCGAUGCAAAGCGAAGAACCUUACCAGAGCUUGACAUGCCGCGAAUCCUCUUGAAAGAGAGGGGUACCUUCGGGAACGCGGACACAGGUGGUGCAUGGCUGUCAUCAGCUCGUGCCGUAAGGUGUUGGGUUAAGUCCCGCAACGAGCGCAACCCUCGUGUUUAGUUGAGUUUGGAACCUUGAGCAAACUGCCGGUGAUAAGCCAGAGGAAGGUGAGGAUGACGUCAAGUCAUCAUGCCUCUUAUGCCUUAGGCGACACACGUUCUACAAUGGACGGGACAAAGGGUCGCGAUCCCGCGAGGGUGAGCUAACUCCAAAAACCCGU
rnacentral:ncRNA from 1 species